rnacentral:rRNA from 1 species
CUAACACACGCAAGUCGAGCGGAAACGACACUAACAAUCCUUCGGGUGCGUUAAUGGGCGUCGAGCGGCGGACGGGUGAGUAAUGCCUAGGAAAUUGCCUUGAUGUGGGGGAUAACCAUUGGAAACGAUGGCUAAUACCGCAUGAUGCCUACGGGCCAAAGAGGGGGACCUUCGGGCCUCUCGCGUCAAGAUAUGCCUAGGUGGGAUUAGCUAGUUGGUGAGGUAAUGGCUCACCAAGGCGACGAUCCCUAGCUGGUCUGAGAGGAUGAUCAGCCACACUGGAACUGAGACACGGUCCAGACUCCUACGGGAGGCAGCAGUGGGGAAUAUUGCACAAUGGGCGAAAGCCUGAUGCAGCCAUGCCGCGUGUAUGAAGAAGGCCUUCGGGUUGUAAAGUACUUUCAGUUGUGAGGAAGGGUGUGUAGUUAAUAGCUGCGCAUCUUGACGUUAGCAACAGAAGAAGCACCGGCUAACUCCGUGCCAGCAGCCGCGGUAAUACGGAGGGUGCGAGCGUUAAUCGGAAUUACUGGGCGUAAAGCGCAUGCAGGUGGUUCAUUAAGUCAGAUGUGAAAGCCCGGGGCUCAACCUCGGAACUGCAUUUGAAACUGGUGAACUAGAGUACUGUAGAGGGGGGUAGAAUUUCAGUGUAGCGGUGAAAUGCGUAGAGAUCUGAAGGAAUACCAGUGGCGAAGGCGGCCCCUGGACAGAUACUGACACUCAUAUGCGAAAGCGUGGGGAGCAA